GCUAAUUUAAUUUUUUUUAAAAAUUAAAUAAUUGAAAAAAUUAUUUUUUGUUUAAAUUGAUUAUCAUUAAAUUUUUUAAAAUUGGAACUGUAAUGGGGGUUAAAUUGAUCCAGGAAGAAGAAAAUUUUUAAAUUGUACCUUUUGUGUCAGGGUUGAUUAAUUUAUUAUAGUUAUUUAUCUUUCCCGAAAGGUUAGGAUCUUAAUUAAUUUGGUUUUUGUUGUGGUAUAAUCAUUGGUUAAUUUAAUUAAGAUUUGAAAUGAAAAUCGUUUAAUUUGAUAUCUGGUUAUUUUGGAAAUAAAUUUAAUUUAGGGGUAUUUAUCAGUUAAAAAUUUAUUUUUAUUAAAAACUUUAAACACUAAAUUAAACUGGGUUAAUCUGGUUUAAAUUUUAUAAAUAUUGAUUUCGAGGACGUUGUAGGAUUAAAAUUUUUUUUCUAUAGAAGUUUAUUAUAAAUUAUUCCUUAAAUUUUAAAAAUUUUAAUUUGUUACAAAAUUAACAAAUUGAAUUUUCUUAUUUGUUAAAAAUGAUUAAAUUAGUAAACUUAAAAUUUAAUUUUAUGAACUCGGCAAGUUGUUUUUCUGUCUGUUUAUCAAAAACAUUUCUUUUAGUUUAAUAUUAAAAGUUGGGCCUGCUCAAUGAAUAUUUUAAAUAGCUGCAGUAUUUUAACUGUACAAAGGUAGCGUAGUAAUUAGUCUUUUAAUUGAGGUCUUGAAUGAAUGGUUUAACAAGAUGAAACCUUUAUUAAUUUAAUUAGAUGAAUUUUAUUUUUUAGUUAAAAAGCUAAAAUUUUAAAAUGGGACGAUAAGACCCUAUAGAUCUUUAAAUUUUUAUUUUAUAAAUUUAUUUUGGUUAAUUUAAGCUUUAUGAGUAAAAAUUUUUUGUUGGGGUGACAAAUAAAUUUUUAUAACUUUAAGGCUUUUUUACAUAUGUAAAUGGAUUAAAUGAACCUAAAUUUAGGGUUGUUAAAAUAAGAUACCUUAGGGAUAACAGCGUUAUAAAUUUGUAUAGUUCUUAUAGAUAAAUUUGUUUGCGACCUCGAUGUUGAAUUAAUCUUAAGUUUUGGGGCAGAAAUUAAAAGUUUUGGUCUGUUCGACCUUUAAAAGAUUACGUGAUUUGAGUUCAAACCGGUGUGAGCCAGGUUGGUUUCUAUCUAUUUUGAAGUUUGUUUAAUUAGUACGAGAGGACUCUUAAGUCAGAAAAAAUUUCU
rnacentral:rRNA from 1 species